rnacentral:rRNA from 1 species
UUUGAUCAUGGCUCAGAGUGAACGCUGGCGGCAGGCCUAACACAUGCAAGUCGAAUGGCAGCACAGAGGAGCUUGCUCCUUGGGUGGCGAGUGGCGGACGGGUGAGGAAUGCAUCGGAAUCUGCCUAUUUGUGGGGGAUAACGUAGGGAAACUUACGCUAAUACCGCAUACGACCUACGGGUGAAAGUGGGGGACCUUCGGGCCUCACGCAGAUAGAUGAGCCGAUGCCGGAUUAGCUAGUUGGCGGGGUAAAGGCCCACCAAGGCGACGAUCCGUAGCUGGUCUGAGAGGAUGAUCAGCCACACUGGAACUGAGACACGGUCCAGACUCCUACGGGAGGCAGCAGUGGGGAAUAUUGGACAAUGGGCGCAAGCCUGAUCCAGCCAUGCCGCGUGUGUGAAGAAGGCCUUCGGGUUGUAAAGCACUUUUGUCCGGAAAGAAAAGCAUUCGAUUAAUACUCGGGUGUUAUGACGGUACCGGAAGAAUAAGCACCGGCUAACUUCGUGCCAGCAGCCGCGGUAAUACGAAGGGUGCAAGCGUUACUCGGAAUUACU